CCAAACUGUGUAUAUAAGGAAGCGCAUCUGUCAAUGGGAUGCAUCUGCCAAAACAAUCUUGCGUGUUUUGCGAUUAGACAAAUUAUGGAGCUCCCGCAACCAAAAAGAAAGGUUUCUGCUGUGUGGAACCACUUUGAUGUCAUUUCGGAAAAUAAGGUAUUUGUUUUAAUUUCCUUGUUUCAUCCUGUUCCUCUGAGUUUCCACUUGAUUUUCUGAAUAGAAAUUCAUUUCAAAGUGACCUGUAGUUUACUGUUCGUGUUAUUUUCUGCAGGUUAAAUGUCGCAAUUGCUCAACAGAGCUUUCAUAUCUGAAUAACAGCACCUCCUCAAUGCUGAGGCAUUAUAGGGCCAAGCAUGAGAAUGAAAUCCAUGAUACACCCAUGACAAACUCAGCUUCCAGGAAGCAGAUUCUAGAUGAGGCUGUGCUUAAUUUCAUUGUGAAGGACUGCCAGCCCCUCAGCGUUGUGGAGAAUGAAGGGUUCAGGGAGCUGGUUCAGCUCCUUGAGCCCUCAUAUGUUUUGCCAACCAGAAAGACCAUCAAACAAACUUUGGCCAAAAAGUACGAGGAGGAACGGGAACGAGUGAAAAUGGAAGUACAGCAAGCUGUGGCAGUGAGUAUAACCGCUGACAUGUGGACAUCUGUGAACAUGG